AAGAAUCUAGGAUAGAGUCACAACCAUGACCGACCAAUCGGUCUAGCCGUACCGCACCAAUCUCCCAACCAUACCAAACAAAACCAUAGAUCAUAAACCAAACAGAAUACCAAAACAUAAUAUAAAAACUAAUCCCAAAAUGUAAUAGGAUGGAAUAACCAACAAUAUUGUCCAAUGAUGUCAGCCCACAAUCUUAUUUUGAUGCCAAGACCUAUACUAAUACCGAUCUCACCC
rnacentral:lncRNA from 1 species